UACGGAGGGUGCAAGCGUUAAUCGGAAUUACCGGGCGUAAAGCGCACGCAGGCGGUUUGUUAAGUCAGAUGUGAAAUCCCCGGGCUCAACCUGGGAACUGCAUCUGAUACUGGCAAGCUUGAGUCUCGUAGAGGGGGGUAGAAUUCCAGGUGUAGCGGUGAAAUGCGUAGAGAUCUGGAGGAAUACCGGUGGCGAAGGCGGCCCCCUGGACGAAGACUGACGCUCAGGUGCGAAAGCGUGAGGAGCAAACAGGAUUAGGUACCCUGGUAGUCCACGCCGUAAACGAUGUCGACUUGGAGGUUGUGCCCUUGAGGCGUGGCUUCCGGAGCUAACGCGUUAAGUCGACCGCCUGGGGAGUACGGCCGCAAGGUUAAAACUCAAAUGAAUUGACGGGGGCCCGCACAAGCGGUGGAGCAUGUGGUUUAAUUCGAUGCAACGCGAAGAACCUUACCUGGUCUUGACAUCCACGGAAGUUUUCAGAGAUGAGAAUGUGCCUUCGGGAACCGUGAGACAGGUGCUGCAUGGCUGUCGUCAGCUCGUGUUGUGAAAUGUUGGGUUAAGUCCCGCAACGAGUGCAACCCUUAUCCUUUGUUGCCAGCGGUCCGGCCGGGAACUCAAAGGAGACUGCCAGUGAUAAACUGGAGGAAGGUGGGGAUGACGUCAAGUCAUCAUGGCCCUUACGACCAGGGCUACACACGUGCUACAAUGGCGCAUACAAAGAGAAGCGACCUCGCGAGAGCAAGCGGACCUCAUAAAGUGCGUCGUAGUCCGGAUUGGAGUCUGCAACUCGACUCCAUGAAGUCGGAAUCGCUAGUAAUCGUGGAUCAGAAUGCCACGGUGAAUACGCUCCCGGGCC
rnacentral:rRNA from 1 species